GAUGAACGCUAGCGGCAGGCCUAAUACAUGCAAGUCGAGGGGCAGCAGGAAUAGCAAUAUUCGCUGGCGACCGGCGCACGGGUGCGUAACACGUAUACAAUCUGCCUUUAACAGGGGGAUAGCCCGGAGAAAUCCGGAUUAAUACCCCAUAACAGUGAUCUUGGCAUCAAGGACACUUAAAAGCUCCGGCGGUUAAAGAUGAGUAUGCGUCUGAUUAGCUAGUUGGUGAGGUAACGGCUCACCAAGGCGACGAUCAGUAGGGGAUCUGAGAGGAUUAACCCCCACACGGAUACUGAGACACGGAUCCGACUCCUACGGGAGGCAGCAGUAAGGAAUAUUGGACAAUGCCCGCAAGGGUGAUCCAGCCAUGCCGCGUGCAGGAAGACGGCCCUAUGGGUUGUAAACUGCUUUUACACCGGAGAAAACCCCACUACGUGUAGUGGGCUGAUAGUAUGGUGAGAAUAAGCAUCGGCUAACUUCGUGCCAGCAGCCGCAGUAA
rnacentral:rRNA from 1 species